GCCUCGGUAGUGUAAUGGAUCAGCACGGCAGACCGAAUACCUGUAAGUGUGGGAUCGACUCCCGCCUAAGUUC
rnacentral:tRNA from 1 species